CAAAACACGAUGAUCCGGAGAGUAAGGUUAUGGUUGGCUGAUCAGCGACCCCGAUGAAGUGUGAGCGGGGACAGGAGCCAUAACUGGAAAGUAGCCGGUGAGUGGCCGAUGCGACGUAAGAAGUGUCGGACGGGUGCGCCCGUGAUCGCGCCAGCGUAUGAACACGUACGCGUUAAGGCUUAAUUGGCGACGAUUAAGCAAAAAAAGGUGGUAACACGCGAAAGCGUCCUUUUC
rfam:Lactobacillus mucosae LM1, complete genome.